UUUGGAUGUGAUUGAUUUAGUACGUGCGGAGCGUGUGUGUGGAGUAGACAUUUUUUGCUGUGGUCUACAAAAAGAGAUUAUAAAGGCCUACGGUGUCGCGGGACAGAUAUUUUACGAGAUCAAUUAAUAAAUGUGAUGUGAAUGUC